AUUGAACGCUGGCGGAAUGCUUUACACAUGCAAGUCGAACGGCAGCACGGACUUCGGUCUGGUGGCGAGUGGCGAACGGGUGAGUAAUACAUCGGAACGUGCCCAGUCGUGGGGGAUAACGUAGCGAAAGCUACGCUAAUACCGCAUACGAUCUGAGGAUGAAAGCGGGGGACCGUAAGGCCUCGCGCGAUUGGAGCGGCCGAUGGCAGAUUAGGUAGUUGGUGGGGUAAAGGCUCACCAAGCCGACGAUCUGUAGCUGGUCUGAGAGGACGACCAGCCACACUGGGACUGAGACACGGCCCAGACUCCUACGGGAGGCAGCAGUAGGGAAUAUUGGGCAAUGGACGCAAGUCUGACCCAGCCAUGCCGCGUGCAGGAUGAAGGCGUUAUGCGUUGUAAACUGCUUUUAUACAGGAAGAAACGACUCUUGCGAGAGGCAUUGACGGUACUGUAUGAAUAAGCACCGGCUAACUCCGUG
rnacentral:rRNA from 1 species